AGUCCAUGGAAGACAAGAGCUUCCUGGAACACCUGCUGCUCUUCACCCCUCAGUGAUGCUCCAGAAUAGGCUACAGGAUAUCUCCCAGCCCCUCGUCUUAGUGCCCAGCCCAACCCAGCCCAGGGAAGGCGGAGAGGAAGCAGUGAGCUGUUUUACAAUCCAUCAAAUUAAUUGCCCCAAAUGGGAAAUUUGCAGGCCUCCUACAGCCUCAUGUGUAUUCCAUAAUCUCCCAUGGCCCUAAUCUCCUGAGAAAGAAUGUGUGGGCUGUAAUCUUUUCAGCCCACUGUUCACAGGGGCAAUGCCUUGGAAAAACCUCAGUCCCCACCAGUGAUCACUCCCAACCAAAAGGCUCCCCGACC
rnacentral:lncRNA from 1 species